rnacentral:tRNA from 1 species
UGCUGUUUAGCUCAGUUGGGUAGAGCAAUCGCCUGGAAAGCGGUAGGCGCCGGUUCAAGUCCGGUAAUAGCGA